UACAGAGGGUGCAAGCGUUGUUCGGAAUUAUUGGGCGUAAAGCGCGUGUAGGCGGCUUUGCAAGUCAGGUGUGAAAGCCCUCGGCUCAACCGAGGAAGUGCGCCUGAAACUGCAGAGCUUGAGUACCGGAGAGGAUGGCGGAAUUCCCCAAGUAGAGGUGAAAUUCGUUGAUAUGGGGAGGAACACCGGUGGCGAAGGCGGCCAUCUGGACGGAUACUGACGCUGAGACGCGAAAGCGUGGGCAGCAAACAG
rnacentral:rRNA from 1 species